GCUGGAUGUACUUUAUUAGAAAUUAUAUCGAGAAGAUCAGAAGUAUAUGUGUGAACCACAACAAACCAUAAUUUCCUGAUCGAUGUAUUAAUGAAUCUUGUCUCUAUCAUGAGUGUUGUCUACACGUUAAAGAAAAACACCACGAAUUUCCAUAAUAAUCACGAUUCAUCAGAAUUCAGUAUUGUGUAACCAGUUUUGUGAAAAAUCCAUUAUUUUCUCUAAAAUAUUAGAGACGAGCUGCUGAGAACAUUAGGAGCAUAACUCCUGACACUGCAAACGAAGAGAAUACUGUGGAGGUGGCUGAGGCAUGUGUGCAGAAUGUCAUUCUCCGUACUUCCCAAAAAGGCUCUUUGGUGGACAUCACAGGAGAAGAGGAAACGGGCCAUCCAAACGAGACCUGGGAGAGAAUUGAAAGAAUACAACCUGGCCUUCGAAUCAGCUGGACGACAAGCGGUUGGCCGAAGGCGAUGGAAGUCCAUCGUGGAAGCUUUAUAUGACACUCGGCUCAAAGAAUAUUGAGUGAGUGA